rnacentral:rRNA from 1 species
CCUGCCCCGAAGACNNGCCUAACACAUGCAAGUCGAGCGGUAACAGGUGUAGCAAUACAUGCUGACGAGCGGCGAACGGGUGAGUAAUGCUUUGGAAUCUUCCCAGUAGUGGGGAAUAACCAAUCGAAAGAUUGGCUAAUACCGCAUACGUCUGUAAAGGGAAAGCGGGGGCUCGUAAGACCUCGCGCUAUUGGAUGAGCCAAAGUCGGAUUAGCUAGUUGGUGGGGUAANNCCAGACUCCUACGGGAGGCAGCAGUGGGGAAUAUUGGACAAUGGGGGAAACCCUGAUCCAGCGACGCCGCGUGUGUGAAGAAGGCCUGCGGGUUGUAAAGCACUUUUAGUGGGGACAAAAAGCUACGGACUAAUACUCUGUGGUCUUGAUUUAACCUACAGAAAAAGCACCGGCUAACUCUGUGCCAGCAGCCGCGGUAAUACAGAGGGUGCGAGCGUUAAUCGGAAUUACUGGGCGUAAAGCGCGCGUAGACGGUUUUGUAAGUCAGAUGUGAAAUCCCUGGGCUCAACCUGGGAACUGCAUUUGAGACUGCAUGGCUAGAGUAUCGAAGAGGGAAGUGGAAUUUCCGGUGUAGCGGUGAAAUGCGUAGAUAUCGGAAGGAACACCAGUGGCGAAAGCGACUUCCUGGUCGAAUACUGACGUUCAUGUGCGAAAGCGUGGGGAGCAAANNGGAUUAGAUACCCUGGUAGUCCACGCCAUAAACGAUGACAACUAGAUGUUGGGAGGGUCUGCCUCUCGGUGUCGCAGCUAACGCGUUAAGUUGUCCGCCUGGGGAGUACGGCCGCAAGGUUGAAACUCAAAGGAAUUGACGGGGGCCCGCACAAGCGGUGGAGCAUGUGGUUUAAUUCGAUGCAACGCGAAGAACCUUACCUGGUCUUGACAUCCCAGGAACCCUUAAGAGAUUAGGGGGUGCCUUCGGGAGCCUGGAGACAGGUGCUGCAUGGCUGUCG